CCCAACAAAGAAAGUAACAGAAUGCCACUAGCCGUCACCUUCAGCCCCCAACUAAAACCUCUCCAGUGCAUCAUCAAGGUUCUACAACCUAUCCUGUGAUCCCUCACUGCCACAGAU